UACGGAGGAUGCGAGCGUUAUCCGGACUUAUUGGGUUUAAAGGGUGCGCAGGCGGCACGGCAAGCCGGCGGUCAAAUCGCGGGGCUCAACCCCGCCCAGCCGUCGGAACUGCCGGGCUAGAGUGGGCGAGAAGUGCGCGGAAUGCGUGGUGUAGCGGUGAAAUGCAUAGAUAUCACGCAGAACUCCGAUUGCGAAGGCAGCGCACCGGCGCCCUACUGACGCUCAGGCACGAAAGCGUGGGUAUCGAACAGG
rnacentral:rRNA from 1 species